GUGUAGCUCAGUGCUGCUGCGAGGAGACACACCUGUAAGCAAUCCCAAUCAGCCCAACUACUUAUACCUGGUCCUCCUGCCACUUCAGAGCCGGAUUAUUCCUCCACCACUGCUAUCUCCCAGCUCACCAGUUUUUUCACCAGGCGUUUGGAGCCAGCUUCCUGGAUUUUUUGUUUUCUUCAGUUGUCUGUGUAAUAAACUGACUGAACUAUUCAC